UACAGAGGGUGCAAGCGUUGCUCGGAAUUAUUGGGCGUAAAGGGCUCGUAGGCGGUCUGUUGCGUCAGGAGUGAAAACUCACAGCUCAACUGUGGGCGUGCGGGCGAUACGGGCAGACUAGAGUACUGCAGGGGAGACUGGAAUUCCUGGUGUAGCGGUGAAAUGCGCAGAUAUCAGGAGGAACACCGGUGGCGAAGGCGGGUCUCUGGGCCGAUACUGACGCUGAGGAGCGAAAGCGUGGGGAGCGAACAGG
rnacentral:rRNA from 1 species